rnacentral:rRNA from 1 species
UUCCGUAGGGGAACCUGAACCUGCGGAAGGAUCAUUACCGAGUUUUCGAGCUCCGGCUCGACUCUCCCACCCUUUGUGAACGUACCUCUGUUGCUUUGGCGGCUCCGGCCGCCAAAGGACCUUCAAACUCCAGUCAGUAAACGCAGACGUCUGAUAAACAAGUUAAUAAACUAAAACUUUCAACAACGGAUCUCUUGGUUCUGGCAUCGAUGAAGAACGCAGCGAAAUGCGAUAAGUAAUGUGAAUUGCAGAAUUCAGUGAAUCAUCGAAUCUUUGAACGCACAUUGCGCCCCUUGGUAUUCCGGGGGGCAUGCCUGUUCGAGCGUCAUUACAACCCUCAAGCUCUGCUUGGAAUUGGGCACCGUCCUCACUGCGGACGCGCCUCAAAGACCUCGGCGGUGGCUGUUCAGCCCUCAAGCGUAGUAGAAUACACCUCGCUUUGGAGCGGUUGGCGUCGCCCGCCGGACGAACCUUCUGAACUUUUCUCAAGG